UGGCAAGAGCCAAGGGCCACCAACCCCGAGGAGAAUGAGCUGGAAGUCCAUCCCCAAGACCAGUCCAGCCAUGGGGAGACCCUGGGCCAUAUCACCUGAGCGCAGCUUCCUGCCUGAACUCCUGACCCUUGGAAUUGGAUGGAAAGACAUGUUUAUUGUUUUAAGCCUGGAAGCUUUGGGUGUAAUUCAUUAUGCAGCAAUAGACACCCAAUACUCCAUGCCUUUGUGGAAGCACUGUUUUAGCCCGAGACUGCACAUCUCUAGCCUUACAGAAAAAUAAUUUGUCAUAUUUAAGCCACUGCUUUAAUAUUUUUGUUUUCUAUUCAUUACAAUUGAAACUAACCUUAAAUUAUUUGAUAAUAAAGUCUGGGAAGGACUGGAGAUGUAGUUUUAGUAGUAGCAGUACACUUGCCUAGCAUGCCUGAGGUCCUGGGUUUGAUACUUGGCACCCCCCCACACACACACACAAACACUGUAAACAACAGUAGAAGGGUUAGUUUCCUUCUCUCUGUCUGCAACCCCAGCUUUGGCCUCCAUCUGCAAGGUCACCCACCUCUUGGUCCAAGAUAGAGCUGCUAGAGUUCCAGAAAUCAUAUCUCAAAUUCCAGGUAGAAGGAAGAAGGGAAGAAUAAAAGGUGCUCAUCUCUCAGCCGACUGCUCCUUAUAAAAAGUCUUCUCGGACGCUUCCACUUCCACUUACAUCUCCAGGGCCAAACUGAGCCACGUGGCCACACCCUGCUUCAGGGAAGUUGGGAAAUUUACUUCUUCAGCAGAGCAUAUUGUCCCC
rnacentral:lncRNA from 1 species